CCCCCCCCCCCCUCUUCCUAGAUCCAUAAGCAUAGGGUAAGGGAGGAGCCGGGACAAAUACAUGCUGGCGGUGUUGUGCCAAGACAAACUCUGUGCGUGUUUGGUGGCUUGCAUGUCCAUAGCAGUCCAUGAUCCAAGGCACACGCCUGUUGUGCACUAGCUGGAAUGAUCGCAAAGAAUGAUUUUAAUGUGAUUGUUUCAUUUCAAUGCUUCAUCUCCUUGUGGUCUGCAUGGUCUUAUUGGUUCCUCCUUCUGCCCACCGCGUUGCCGAAUCCGAUGCUGAUGGAAGCUGAAGACAACAACGGUCUCCUUGUACAGAGAUGAGAGAAAGUGCAUGUGAUUGGGGCCAACUGAGAGGGAAGAGGCAUAUUUGUUCGAUGAAAAAGGAGAGGCAUAUUUAUCUGGGCUCGACAUGAAUCACGCUUCCUUCUUACCCAGGCUAGGAGGCAAGGCGUCGUUGGCGAGGUAUUGGAUCUUCGUUGAGAUGGAAGAGAAAGGGGAUCGUGGCUGCUUCUUGCAAUCGAUUUAGAGGGGAAAGAUCCAGGAAUAGUAAACAUUGCGGUGCCGCUACAGGCUAUCUCUGAAAAAAGAUUUGGAUGGAGGGAACUUUGCGGUGCCGAUGUAUGCUAUCUAUGAAUAAAUUGCGGUGCCGCAGGCUAUCUCCAGAGAGAACAAGCGAGGGAAAUUGUUCAAGAGAAACACAAUUUUUUGGGAUAUGUUGUUUGCUUUCCUUGCUACCUACGUGGUAGAUAAUGUUGAGGGAGAGAUUUCAAACUGCUGGAUGUUGCUAUUGUAUGGACUAGAAGCUGCUAGAUGUCUUGAUUCCCCAAGUAUACUUAUUUAUGUGUGGUGUAAUGGAAAAUAGCCCAGCCGUUUGACCUUCAUCAAUUUAUUAUUUCUUCUUCUUUGUUCUUGGUAGACAUGCACAAGUCAAUGGCUGGUCAUUUCUUUAUAUGUGAUCCUGAGCUGAUCUAAAGGUCCCAUGUUUUCUUGAUUGGCACGCAGGCGAGCAGGACGACCAACAUAGGAGUGUUUGGUUUCAGAGAGAUCGUUGGGGAGGAGUUCAUGAAAGGUUUAGAGAGUGAUUUUGGAGGAGGUAGAGAAAGUGAUGUUCAUAUAAAUCAGUGCAGCAUCAACUAGAUGUGUUCCUAUAUUUUGAUGAUUAUUAGAGAGAAAGAGAGAGGGUAUGGUUGCCAGAAGUCUGUAUGUAUGUCUCAUGUAAUGAUGUCAUGUUGACCACAUGUCAUGAAUAAUCAUUAGGAUAGCACAAUAACACGAAGUGUAGGCAGAGAUAACAUAGCAGUAGAGCUAGAUUAGCAACAGAAAAGCAAGCACAAGUAUUUGAAAUUGCCUGGAGACUGCUCAUGUUUGCUAUUGCAAUAUAACUCUGAAAGAUUGGUUGUUUGUAUUAGAGAGAACAACUAAGUUUACGGAAUUCGUUA